rnacentral:rRNA from 1 species
AGUGAACGCUGGCGGUAGGCCUAACACAUGCAAGUCGAACGGCAGCACAGUAAGAGCUUGCUCUUACGGGUGGCGAGUGGCGGACGGGUGAGGAAUACAUCGGAAUCUACUUUUUCGUGGGGGAUAACGUAGGGAAACUUACGCUAAUACCGCAUGCGACCUACGGGUGAAAGCAGGGGAUCUUCGGACCUUGCGCGAUUGAAUGAGCCGAUGUCGGAUUAGCUAGUUGGCGGGGUAAAGGCCCACCAAGGCGACGAUCCGUAGCUGGUCUGAGAGGAUGAUCAGCCACACUGGAACUGAGACACGGUCCAGACUCCUACGGGAGGCAACAGUGGGGAAUAUUGGACAAUGGGCGCAAGCCUGAUCCAGCCAUACCGCGUGGGUGAAGAAGGCCUUCGGGUUGUAAAGCCCUUUUGUUGGGAAAGAAAUCCAGCCGGCUAAUACCUGGUUGGGAUGACGGUACCCAAAGAAUAAGCACCGGCUAACUUCGUG